CAGAGGUCCCAAGCGUUGUUCGGAUUCACUGGGCGUAAAGGGUGCGUAGGUGGUCAGGUAAGUCUGAUGUGAAAGCUCUGGGCUCAACCCAGAAAUGGCAUUGGAUACUAUCUGGCUAGAGGAAUGGAGGGGGGACUGGAAUACUUGGUGUAGCAGUGAAAUGCGUAGAUAUCAAGUGGAACACCAGUGGCGAAGGCGAGUCCCUGGACAUUUCCUGACACUGAGGCACGAAAGCUAGGGGAGCAAACAGGAUUAGAUACCCUGGUAGUCCUAGCUGUAAACUGUGCACGUUUGCUGUAAAAGGAAUCGUACCCUUUGUGGCGAAGCUAACGCGUUAAACGUGCCGCCUGGGAAGUACGGUCGCAAGAUUA
rnacentral:rRNA from 1 species